UACGUAGGUGGCAAGCGUUGUCCGGAAUUACUGGGCGUAAAGCGCACGUAGGCGGCUUUACAAGUCAGAGGUGAAAGCCUGGAGCUCAACUCCAGAAUUGCCUUUGAGACUGUAUCGCUUGAACACGGGAGAGGUGAGUGGAAUUCCGAGUGUAGAGGUGAAAUUCGUAGAUAUUCGGAAGAACACCAGUGGCGAAGGCGGCUCACUGGACCGUUGUUGACGCUGAGGUGCGAAAGCGUGGGGAGCAAACAGG
rnacentral:rRNA from 1 species